rnacentral:rRNA from 1 species
GAUUAACGCUGGCGACGUGCAUAACACAUGCAAGUCGAACGAUGAAACUUAACUGAUUUCUUCGGAAUGAUUUUAAGUGGAUUAGUGGCGGACGGGUGAGUAACGCGUGAGUAACCUGCCUUGGAGAAGGGGAUAGCCUUUGGAAACGAAGAAUAAUACCCUAUGAUAUGAUAAUAUCUCAUGAUAUUAUCAUCAAAGAUUUAUCGCUCUAAGAUGGACUUGCGUCUGAUUAGUUAGUUGGUGAGGUAACAGCUCACCAAGGCAGCGAUCAGUAGCCGGCUUGAGAGAGUGUACGGCCACAUUGGGACUGAGACACGGCCCAGACUCCUACGGGAGGCAGCAGUGGGGAAUUUUGCACAAUGGGGGAAACCCUGAUGCAGCGACGCCGCGUGAUUUAGAAGGCCUUCGGGUUGUAAAAAUCUUUUGUAUGGGAAGAAAAUGACAGUACCAUACGAAUAAGGACCGGCUAAUUACGUG